rnacentral:rRNA from 1 species
AUUCCAGCUCCAAUAGCGUAUAUUAAAGUUGUUGUGGUUAAAAAGCUCGUAGUUGAACCUUGGGCCUGGCUGGCCGGUCCGCCUCACCGCGUGUACUGGUCCGGCCGGGCCUUUCCCUCUGUGGAACCCCAUGCCCUUCACUGGGUGUGGCGGGGAAACAGGACUUUUACUGUGAAAAAAUUAGAGUGCUCCAGGCAGGCCUAUGCUCGAAUACAUUAGCAUGGAAUAAUAGAAUAGGACGUGUGGUUCUAUUUUGUUGGUUUCUAGGACCGCCGUAAUGAUUAAUAGGGACAGUCGGGGGCAUCAGUAUUCAAUUGUCAGAGGUGAAAUUCUUGGAUUUAUUGAAGACUAACUACUGCGAAAGCAUUUGCCAAGGAUGUUUUCAUUAAUCAGGAACGAAAGUUAGGGGAUCGAAGACGAUCAGAUACCGUCGUAGUCUUAACCAUAAACUAUGCCGACUAGGGAUCGGACGGUGUUAUUUUUUGACCCGUUCGGCACCUUACGAGAAAUCAAAGUGCUGGCUCCAGGGAGA